UUCAGGGAAUUGGCUUUGAAUGUGGAAGUCAUCAUUCCCAUGUAGCGUUUUCAGUGGUGUCCGCAUCCCAUUGUAUCAACCAUUGUGGAGUUUUAUGACCAGCCUUUGAGAUCUCUCGGAUAGCCAAACAUCGUUUUGGCAUAGGCAUGUAGGUAGGGUCCAUCUCGAGACCUUUACAAAGUGUCGGAUCAAGCUGGUGGUUCCCUAUGGCCUGUUUAAGUAAUUAGACAUGGAAAACCGGGUGGAUUUUGGCCUCAGUGGGAAGAUUAAGUUUGUAAGCAACGGGUCCCAUUUGGUUUGUGAUCUGGAAAGGUCUGUAGAAUCAUGCUGCUAAUUUUUUAUUGAUGCGGGGAACUACUGAUUGUUGCCUUUGAGGAUGGAGUUUUAGGUAGCCCCAUUCUCCGACGGAAAAGGACUCGUCGGCGGUGCUUAUCGGCUGAUUUUUUCAUACACUCUUGGGCCCGGGAGAGAUCAUACUUUAGUUGUUUAAGCACCUCGUCCCUAUCAACCAGAUCGCGUGCCACGACCUCGCAUUGUAUCUUGCCCGGAAUGAAUCGUGUGAUUGUGGGAGGGGGCUGACCCGUACACAAUUUUGAAAGGAGUGGUGUUGGUGGAGACGCGAUAUGCUAUGUUAUGCCAAUAUUCGGCCCAGGGUAGCCAAAAGGACCAUGUCUUAGGGGUUGUUUGAUAUUGAGCUGACCGGGUCCGGUCAGUAAAUUUUGGCUGACUCGGUCCGGUCAGGCCGUUUGGUAGAGCCCCAAAUUGGCUUACUCGGUCAGCUAUAGCCGACCAAUCUCCUGACCCGGUACGUGAAAAAAACGUAGUUGACUGGUAAAGAAACCCAUUUAUCCUCAUUUGCCCCUCUUUCUUCCUUUCUGGUCGAUCGACCUCUCCUCCUAUUGCUCUCCUCAAACCUGCCACUCUCUCUAUCUGCUCUCUCAACUUCUCAAAUCGGUAAUUGAAGGGUCGAUCAGAAGGGUAGAUUUUAAUCGAUUUCAUUUCACUCAAGCCCUGCGAUUUGAAGAACAAGAACACGAUUCUUUUGUUGCACUGCGUCUAGUAACUGAAUGGAUGACCUUGCAUGCGUGUCCGGUACCCAGCAAGAAACUCAAAAUCACAGCAUUUUCUCUCUCUUUUGGUAUCAGAAAUUAACAUACCAGUCCUCCAAUCAAUAACCAAAACAUUCGAUAUUCACCCUCUUUCCCUUCAAUUGAUAAGUUGGUUCCUGGUGUUGUUGGUAUGGUGUUUUGUUGGUAUGGCGGUAAUGUGGUGAUGAUUGUUGUCGGUUUGAUGGUGCAUGGUGGUGUUGGUAUGGUGUUUUGUAGUGGCUAUAAAGGAGGAAUUUGAUGGUGCAUGGUGGUGUUGGUAUGGUGUUUUGUAGUGGCUAUAAAGGAGGAAUUUGAUGGUGCAUGGUGGUGUUGGUAUGGUGUUUUGUAGUGGCUAUAAAGGUGGUGUUGGUAUGGAAGUGGCUGAUGAUGGUGGUGGUCAAGUUUUGGGGUGAUGGUUGGUGGUUUGGCGGAGAGGCGGGUAUAGAGAUGGAGAAGGGUUAAGUUGGUGGUGGUCGAUGGUGUGUGGAUAGAGGGUGAAGGUUGUGUAAUCAGGCUCAACACUCCUUUUGACCAAAAAAAAAUCAAACUCCCAAUCAGAGAUCAAACACUCCUCUUGACAAUCAAUAUUUGGUGUAUACCUAAAUGAUUCUCGAGGGCUGAAUCCUUUUAUUAGCUAUGUGAAUUGAUGGAUGGAUGUUGUUACUUGUAGUAAUUCCUUUCUAGGUUUGUGAUUCCAUUUCUUUAGUAAUGAUGUGCCAUUUGAUUUUGAGGUAUAUGUAAGCUUGUAAACUUAUACUCAGAUCUCUGUUUACCACAAUUCUCAAUAGUUGUAUUAUUAGAAAAUUGUGCUCAAUGGUUUUGUUGUUUAAACUAUGUAUGAACUAUGGUCAAUUCAAUGAUAUUGUCAUUUGAAUGA